GUGCCAGCCGCCGCGGUAAUACGGAGGGAGCUAGCGUUGUUCGGAAUUACUGGGCGUAAAGCGCGCGUAGGCGGUUACUCAAGUCAGAGGUGAAAGCCCGGGGCUCAACCCCGGAACUGCCUUUGAAACUAGGUGACUAGAAUCUUGGAGAGGUCAGUGGAAUUCCGAGUGUAGAGGUGAAAUUCGUAGAUAUUCGGAAGAACACCAGUGGCGAAGGCGACUGACUGGACAAGUAUUGACGCUGAGGUGCGAAAGCGUGGGGAGCAAACAGGAUUAGAAACCCCCGUAGUCC
rnacentral:rRNA from 1 species